GAUGAACGCUGGCGGCGUGCUUAACACAUGCAAGUCGAACGAGAAAUGUAGACGGAAACCUUCGGGCGGAAGCCUUCAUUUCGAGUGGCGGACGGGUGAGUAACGCGUGGGUAACCUGCCUCAUACAGGGGGAUAACAGUUGGAAACGACUGUUAAUACCGCAUAAGACCACAGCAUCGCAUGAUGCGGGGGUAAAAACUCCGGUGGUAUGAGAUGGACCCGCGUUCGAUUAGCCAGUUGGCGGGGUAACGGCCCACCAAAGCGACGAUCGAUAGCCGAUCUGAGAGGAUGACCGGCCACAUUGGGACUGAGACACGGCCCAAACUCCUACGGGAGGCAGCAGUGGGGAAUAUUGCACAAUGGGGGAAACCAUGAUGCAGCGACGCCGCGUGAGUGAAGAAGUACUUGGGUAUGUAAAGCUCUAUCAGCAGGGAAGAAAAUGACGGUACCUGAGUAAGAAGCCCCGGCUAACUACGUG
rnacentral:rRNA from 1 species